rnacentral:rRNA from 1 species
AUUGAACGCUGGCGGAAUGCUUUACACAUGCAAGUCGAGCGGCAGCGCGGGGGCAACCCUGGCGACGAGUGGCGGACGGGUGAGUAAUGCUUGGGAAUCUACCCAGUAGCGGGGGAGUAACCUAGGGAAACUUAGGCUAAUACCGCAUACGACCUACGGGUGAAAGCGGGGGAGUCGUAAGACCUCGCGACUAUUGGAUGAGCCCAAGUCGGAUUAGCUAGUUGGUAGGGUAACGGCCUACCAAGGCUACGAUCCGUAGCUGGUCUGAGAGGACGAUCAGCCACACUGGGACUGAGACACGGCCC